AGCAGUAGCCGCGGGAAUACGUAGGUGGCAAGCGUUGUCCGGAAUUAUUGGGCGUAAAGCGCGCGCAGGCGGAUCUGUCAGUCUGUCUUAAAAGUUCGGGGCUUAACCCCGUGAUGGGAUGGAAACUGCUGAUCUAGAGUAUCGGAGAGGAAAGUGGAAUUCCUAGUGUAGCGGUGAAAUGCGUAGAUAUUAGGAAGAACACCAGUGGCGAAGGCGACUUUCUGGACGAAAACUGACGCUGAGGCGCGAAAGCCAGGGGAGCGAACGGGAUUAGAGACCCCUGUAGUCCCUGUCUCUUAUACA
rnacentral:rRNA from 1 species